rnacentral:rRNA from 1 species
AAGAUGCUAAUACCGGAUAACAACAGAUGAUGCCUAUCAACUGUUUAAAAGAUGGUUCUGCUAUCACUCUUGGAUGGACCUGCGGUGCAUUAGCUAGUUGGUAGGGUAACGGCCUACCAAGGCGAUGAUGCAUAGCCGAGUUGAGAGACUGAUCGGCCACAUUGGGACUGAGACACGGCCCAAACUCCUACGGGAGGCAGCAGCC